GCCGAUCCUUAUUCUUACGAUACCGUCAAGCUGCUUCACGAAGCAGUGUUUCUUCUCGUAUAAAAGCAGUUUACAAUCCAUAGGACCGUCAUCCUGCACGCGGCAUGGCUGGAUCAGGCUUGCGCCCAUUGUCCAAUAUUCCUCACUGCUGCCUCCCGUAGGAGUCUGGUCCGUGUCUCAGUACCAGUGUGGGGGAUCUCCCUCUCAGGACCCCUACCCAUCGUAGCCUUGGUAAGCCGUUACCUUACCAACUAGCUAAUGGGACGCAUGCUCAUCUUUUACCGUUGUGACUUUAAUAGUAGAAUCAUGCGAUUCAGCUAUACUAUGAGGUAUUAAUCCAAAUUUCUCUGGGCUAUCCCUCUGUAAAAGGUAGAUUGCAUACGCGUUACGCACCCGUGCGCCGGUCUCUGCUUCCGAAGAAGCAUACCCCUCGACUUGCAUGUGUUAAGCCUGCCGCUAGCGUU
rnacentral:rRNA from 1 species